rnacentral:rRNA from 1 species
CGCUGGCGGCAGGCCUAACACAUGCAAGUCGAGCGGUAGAGAGAAGCUUGCUUCUCUUGAGAGCGGCGGACGGGUGAGUAAUGCCUAGGAAUCUGCCUGGUAGUGGGGGAUAACGUUCGGAAACGGACGCUAAUACCGCAUACGUCCUACGGGAGAAAGCAGGGGACCUUCGGGCCUUGCGCUAUCAGAUGAGCCUAGGUCGGAUUAGCUAGUUGGUGAGGUAAUGGCUCACCAAGGCGACGAUCCGUAACUGGUCUGAGAGGAUGAUCAGUCACACUGGAACUGAGACACGGUCCAGACUCCUACGGGAGGCAGCAGUGGGGAAUAUUGGACAAUGGGCGAAAGCCUGAUCCAGCCAUGCCGCGUGUGUGAAGAAGGUCUUCGGAUUGUAAAGCACUUUAAGUUGGGAGGAAGGGUUGUAGAUUAAUACUCUGCAAUUUUGACGUUACCGACAGAAUAAGCACCGGCUAACUCUGUGCCAGCAGCCGCGGUAAUACAGAGGGUGCAAGCGUUAAUCGGAAUUACUGGGCGUAAAGCGCGCGUAGGUGGUUUGUUAAGUUGGAUGUGAAAUCCCCGGGCUCAACCUGGGAACUGCAUUCAAAACUGACUGACUAGAGUAUGGUAGAGGGUGGUGGAAUUUCCUGUGUAGCGGUGAAAUGCGUAGAUAUAGGAAGGAACACCAGUGGCGAAGGCGACCACCUGGACUAAUACUGACACUGAGGUGCGAAAGCGU